GGAGGGAGGCGGGCAGAGGAGGGGAGAUGGGCACCCCCAGUCUUUCCAUCCUCCUCAUUCGUCUAGGGGCACCCGAAUCCCCUAUUCCUUAUUUCCCCUAUCACUCAGGCACUGGCAGGGUCCUUUGCCCACUCCUGUUGGCCGCUGCGGCUCCAAAGCGAGCUGGGCAGAUGUGCCUGAGACAGGUUUGACCAGGCAACUGAAAAGACAUCCCUAAGAGAAGACAAAGCAAAGGUAUGAAAGGAACACACGUCCCUGACUGACUAGGAGGAACAGAGCUGCCUGCUAUCUGGAACAACUUCCUCCCAGACUAAGUGAGAAAUAAACUUCUGUUUUCUAUA
rnacentral:lncRNA from 1 species